rnacentral:rRNA from 1 species
UCCUACGGGGGGCAGCAGUGGGGGAUAUUGGACAAUGGGGGGAACCCUGAUCCAGCGACGCCGCGUGAGUGAAGAAGUAUCUCGGUAUGUAAAGCUCUAUCAGCAGGGAAGAAAGAAAUGACGGUACCUGAGUAAGAAGCCCCGGCUAACUACGUGCCAGCAGCCGCGGUAAUACGUAGGGGGCAAGCGUUAUCCGGAAUUACUGGGUGUAAAGGGUGCGUAGGCGGCCUGCUAAGUCUGGAGUGAAAGGUACCGGCUCAACCGGUACAGGCUCUGGAAACUGGCGGGCUAGAGAGCAGGAGAGG